rnacentral:lncRNA from 1 species
CUUUGUAUCUAAAGAAGAAUUUAACGAGUUGAAGAAAGUCACACAAGUUGGGAGGUAGAAAUGGUUACAUAAUGAAAAAAAGUGUUGGCUCAAUAUCUUCACCAUGUACUAUCAUAGAUACUAUGAAAAGCAUUCCAUUGAAAAUUAUUGAUGCGGAGUCCUGAGAGUAUCAUUAGCUCCGCGAGUAACACAAUGCUCAAUCCAAACUUUUGAUUCUUAUCAAAAUUCAUGCCUUGACGUCGAUCGGAGGAGGGCGAUGGAGUGAGGAGCAUGAGGAUGAUGUGUCACAUCGAACUCACAGAAGUUGAAUUCCUAAAUAAAAUGGUUGGAGGUUCCAAAGGUUGGAAGGUUGUCGUGGUCGUCUGAAAGAGUGAGGCUCACUUGGAUGAGGUGCGUAUAGUUCACAUUAGCUUUCAUCACUACGUAGUUAUUUUGUGGUGUUCGGAAUGCUAGAUGCGACUGAAACACCACGUUAGGGAACUCCGUGUCCAUAGAGAUGAAAGGGUAAAAGGAAAUUACGAAAUAAAUCAACUCGAACUUCGAUUCAAGGUUGUAAGAAGACACUGUUCUCGUCAUCACUACGUAGUUAUUUUGUGAUGUUCGGAAUGCUGGAUGUGACUGAAACACGGAACUCCGUGUCCAUAGAGAUGAAAGGGUAAAAGGAAAUUACGAAAUAAAUCAACUCGAACUUCGAUUCAAGGUUGUAAGAAGACACUGUUCUCAUCCAACUAUUCAAGGUUUCAGUCGCAUCCAACAUUUUGACAACCACAAAAUAACUACGCAUUGCUGAAAGCUAACUUGGACUGUAUGCACCUCAUCCAAGUGCGCCUCACCAUUUCAGACGAACUCGAUAACCUUCUAACGUUUGGAACUUCCAACUGCUUCAUUUGCGAAUUCAACUUCUGUGAGUUCGAUGUGACACGCCAUCCUCAUGCUCCCCACUCCAUUGUCCUCCUAGCGUCAAGGCAUGGAUUUUGAUAAGAAUCGAAAGUUUGGAGUGUGCGAUUUGUUGAGUUGAUGAUGCUCUUCUGACUCCUCUGCAACAAUAAUAUUCAGUGGAUUAUUUUUCAUAAAGCCUAUCAUUUUGGGUACAUUGUGAUUAUAUUGAGUCAACUUUUUUUAUACGCAACCAUUUUUAUCUCUCAGCUUGUGUGACUUUCUUCAACUUGUUAAAUUCUUCGUAAGUAUACGGCAUUAAACAUCUUAUCAUAUUUUUUUCCAACCUUCAUGGCAGUUUAGACAAAGUUUCUGAGGUCUGGAUAAUAGUGUCAGAAAAAGUCAUCAUGUUAUAAUAGCUUAGUCACUCUCCAUGUUUUAAAUAAAAUUAAAACUCUAUUUUCAUACACAAUUUGACUUGCAAAAACAUGCAGGUGUUCUCUAUUGUUUAGAGAUGCUUGAUUUUCCUUUUUUUACUAUCUUUCUACUUCUCUUCUCUUUUUAGUACAAUACAAUUUCCACAAUCUCUUUUUUCCACCCUUAUAUAUGUUUCUUCUUUAUUAAUAGAUUUAUGUUGUCAUGGAAUAAAUCAAGAAAUGUAUUCGCUUUUGGAAACUCAUUGCAGGAGUGGCUAAGUAAUUCAAAUCAGUGUUGGUUUUGUCCCUCUCUUCUAAAUACACUCAACCAAUGAAAUUUUAAUUGAUUGCUUUUGGGUACAUGACCAUUUAAUGUAUCGUCUUUUACUUCUUUUUCUCAAUUAAAUUUUAAUUUUUUUAUUAAUUUGAAAACAGUUAUAGUAUAAUUUCAUUUUAAUUUAGUUAUAGUAUAAUUUAGUUAUGAAAUACUAUAGUAUACUUAUUUACUAUUCAUUUUAAUCACUUAGUUAUAUAUAAAAAAUUGUAAUACUUUAAUUAAAUUAAGUGAGACUCUAUGAUAUGAAUUAUACGAUCUGAAUUAUACGAUCAGUCGUAAAAGAUUAAACACACAUCUUCUCACUUUCACUUAAAUUUGUAAUUUUUUUAAUACUUAAUCAUUGAUUUAGUAUUGAAAAAUAUAAAAUAUGAAUUAAGAUUAUACUUUAAAAUCAAUAAUCAAGUUACAAAUGUGUGUAUAAAUAAGAUAAUUACUUAUAAUGUAUUUUUUANNNNNNNNNNNNNNNNNNNNNNNNNNNNNNNNNNNNNNNNNNNNNNNNNNNNNNNNNNNNNNNNNNNNNNNNNNNNNNNNNNNNNNNNNNNNNNNNNNNNGUGUGGGUGUAGAGUUUAAGUUUGUGAGAAAGGUUUUAUGGGUAGGAGAGAAUUUUUCAAAGGAUAGGAAAUUUGAUAGAGGGUAAAGUGGCUGUUGGGUGCAGGUUCUGGUUCCUUUUCUAAGGGCAAUAGGAAGGUCCAGGUUUUGAUCCACAUGUGCUUCUGAAUUUUCCAAAAUAAACUCAUUAGAAUUAUUGGAAUUUCUAGGAUUAGAAAUUGUUACCUCAUGUAAAGAUGGUAGGUUGGAUUCUUGGACAUGGAUAGAUUCUGGAAUGACCUUUGCUCUUCUUGAAUAUACCAGAUUUUUUCCAAAUUUCCCACCACCAUUAAGUGCAGAUUCAGCUGCUGAUUCAGGUGUUGCUGCUGGUUCAGCUGGUUCAGGUGCUUGUUUUGUUCUUGUCUCAGUUCCAGGGACAACAAUGCUAUUUGUCCCAAUUUCAAGUCCAAAUGCCAUAUUUGGAAGCAUGAGAGGCUUAUCUUCCUCUCUUACAUUCUCCCCCUGAAGAUGAGGCUGGAAGUAGCUCUCUUGUUCAUUGAAUGUGACAUCCCUUGACACAAAGAAUCUCUUUGACGGGGGUGAAAACACUUGUAUCCCUUUUGUGUGGUUGAGUACCCUAAGAAUACACAUUUGAAAGCCCUAGGGUCCAAUUUUCCCCUUUCAUUACUAUGAACAUGCACAAAGGAUACACACCCAAAUAUUCUAGGUUGGAGUUUAUUUGUAGGGUUUAGGUGUGGGUAGAAGGAGGAUAGGACUUCCAUGGGGCUUUUUGAUGCUAAGAUUUUAGAGGGUAACCUAUUGAUUAGGUAGGUGGCAGUAAGAAGGGCUUCCCCCCAAAAUUUCUUAGGGACAUGAUUUUGAAAAAGUAGAGCUCUAGUUUGGUCUAAUAAGUGCCCAUUUUUUCUUUCUGCAAUCCCAUUCUGUUGGGGUGUGUUAACACAUGAAGACUCAUGAAUUAUCCCUUCCUUUUGGCAAAAAGAGUUUAGCACCAGGUUAAAGUAGUCCUUGGCAUUACCAUACCUAAUUCUCUUGAUAUUAACUCCAAAUUGAUUUUUAAUCAUAGACACAAACUAAACAAAAAUGGAGCUAACCUCAAAUUUAUGUUUCAAUAGGAAAACCCAAGUCACCCGUGUACAAUCAUCUAUGAAGGUUAAAAACCACUUAGCACCUGAGAUAUUAGGAAUAUUAGCAGGACCCCAGACAUCAGUAUGGAUAAGAAAAAAAGGGAAAAGACUCAUUUUAUUACUAAUGGGGAAAGGUACACGCUUGUGUUUCGCAAGCUCACACACCUCACAAUGGAGACUCUCCACAUUUAAAUUCUUAAACAAGGAAGGGAAGAUCACUUUUACAACUGGGUGUCCUAGCCGACAAUGAUAUAGUUGAGCUUUCUCUUUACUGGUCAUGGUGGAUUCAGAUAUGAGAGAGUGACUAUUGAUACCAAGAUUAGGAUCCUCCAUGUAGUAUAGGCCAUUCCAUUCUCUAGCAUGUCCAAUCGUCCUCCCUGAGUUCUUGUCCUGAAAUACACAAUAGUUGUUAUGAAAAACAAUGUUACAAGAGAGAUCUUUUGUGAGUUUCUGUACAGAAAUCAGAUUGGUGGACAAUUUAGGGACAUGAAGGACAUUUUUUAAUGUUAUAGAUGGGCUUAUUUGGACUUCUCCUUGACCUGCGGCAGUUAUACAUGUUCCAUCUGCUGUGGAAAUUUUCUUGUUGCUAGGACAUGGGAAAUAUGUGGAGAAGUAUUUAGGUAGAGGGGUCAUAUGGUCAGUAGCACCAAAAUCUAGUAUCCAGAAAUGGGUAAAGGGUGUAUCUGAAGCAGUAAGUCCAAAAGAAAAUGGAAACUUACCUGAAUAUGUUAAGGAGCACAUACCUGAGGGCUUCUCCAAUUUACUAAGGAAGGACCUUACCCUUUCUAUCUCUUCAUGAUUCAGCUGGACAGAUUCUUCUCCUUGUCCAUUAACAAUGUGUGCUUGCCUUUGUCCUUCACUUUUUGGAGGGCCUCCUUUCAGGCCCCAUUCUCUGCUUGGGGGUUUUCCAUGUAAUUUCCAGCACUUUUCCCUUGUGUGGCGCGACUUGUUGCAGUAGGCACACCAGACUUCCUCCUGUUUUUUCUCUAUAUUGGAAAACCCGCUUUUCUUCUGGUUAGUUAUCAUGGUUGUUCCUCCUUCAGCUUUCAUUGCUGAGCUUUCAGUAGUUGGGGUCUCCAACAUCAAUCCUCUCCUGCUUUCUUCACUCCGAAUAAUGGCUACCACUUCAUUAAGCCCUGGGACUUUCUCUUUUCCAAGAUUUGGAUUCGAACCUGAUCAUAUUCAGGAUUCAAGCCUACCAAGAAAUCAUAGACUCUACCUUGUUCAAUAUAUUCCUUAAGGAUUGUUGAGUCUUCUGAACAUUUUGCUUUUAUAACUCGAUAGUGAUCAAAUUCCAUCCACAGGGACUUGAGUUGAUUGGCAUAUUCUGUAACAGAUUUGUUUCCCUGCUUGGCAGCCACGGUUUUCACUUUUACAUCAUAUAUUUGAGCAGCAUCCUUGGCCUUAGAAUAGGUUUGUUCUACUGCCUCCCAAAUUUCCUUUGCUGAUUUAAGGAACAUGCAGGUAUCACUGAUUUCUGGGACCAUUGAAUUCCACAGCCAUGCCAUGAUCAUGGAGUCUUCUUCAUCCCAUGAUUUGAACUUGGCAUCCUGUUCAUCAGGGGCAAUAUCAGUCAGGUGACUGACCUUUCCUUUUCCUUUCAAGAUGGUUCUAAUGAGUUGAGACCAUUUGAGAUAAUUUUUUCCAUUUAAUCUAUAAGCAGAAUGAACAUUCUGCAAUUCUCCAGCAGUUUGGGAUCUGUCCCCAAUAGGAUUCACAAUCUCAGUGAUCUCAGCCAUCACAGUGAUGAACAGUAGCGGCGGUGAACAGUAACUGUGAUGAACAGUGGCGUGGUGAACAGUAGCCGCGGUGAACAGUAGCCGCGGUGAAGGCUACACAGUGAUGAAGGCUGUGAUUAUGCCAAGGUUGUGCAGCAAUGAAGGCUGCAACAAGGCUCAAUGUUGUGCAACAAUCACGGCUGCAACUUAGGAUUUUCAGGCACGGUCAAAGACUCCUAAAGAUCGAGCUCUGAUACCAUAUCAAGUUUAGAAGGAAUAAUAUUUUCUUCUAUUAAAUUAUGAGGUCAUUAGACCUAUAUAUACAUGAGCCUGCUAGUUAUUUUAGGAAAUAUGGACAACUAAUUCUAGAGAAACAAAUCCCUAUGAUUGUGGAAUUGUUUCUAAAUACAUAAUCCUAAUAUUAAUAGUAAGAUACAGUUGUGAUACAAAAUAAAAAUAUAAUAAGGAUAAAAUAUAAAACUUCCUAAAAAAUAUAACACAGUUUUGACAGUAUUGAAAGGAGAAGAGAAGAGAACAAAAAUAGAAAGAUGGUAAAAAAGGAAAAUCAAAGCAUCUUUGUGCCAUAAAAGACACCUACAUGCUUUGGUAGGUUAAACUGUGUAUGAAAAUAGAGAAUUUUAAUUUUAUUAAAAACAUGGAGAAUGACUAAGAUAUCAAAGCCUAUAUGAUUGCUUUUUCUAGCACUAUUAUCCAAACCUAUGGACUCAGAAACUCUGUUGAAACAACUAUGAAGGUUGGGACAGGAGUUGAUGAGAUGUUUAACAAUUGUAUACUUUGUAUAUAAAGAAGAAUUUAACGAGUUGAAGAAAGUCACACAAGUAGGGAGGUAGAAAUGGUUACAUAAUGAAAAAAGUGUUGGCUCUAUAUCUUCACCAUGUACUAUCAUAAAAACUAUGAAAAACAAUCCAUUGAAUAUUAUUGUUGCAGAGGAGUCCUGAGAGUAUCAUCAGCUCCGUGAAUCACACAAUGCUCAAUCCAAACUUUUGAUUCUUAUCAAAAUUCAUGCCUUGAUGUCGAUCGGAGGAGGGCGAUUUUGUGAGGAGCAUGAGGAUGAUGUGUCACAUCGAACUCAUAAAAGCUGAAUUCCCAAAUAAAAUGGUUGGAGGUUCCAAAGGUUGGAAGGUUGUUGUGGUCGUUUGAAAGAGUGAUGCUCACUUGGAUGAG